rnacentral:tRNA from 1 species
GCCAAAGUGGUGGAAUUGGUAGACACGCCAUCUUGAGGGGGUGGUGUCCUAAUGGACGUGCGGGUUCAAGUCCCGCCUUUGGCACCA